CAUACAAAACAAAGAUGUAGUUGGACACUGCUAUGAUUGGCACUGAACUCAUUGUCAUUGUCCUGCAACGAAUUGAAUUUGUUGCAAGAUAAAAUAACACUUAGAUAUAUCACAAAUAUACGGGACAAAUUAUUAAUAUUACAUUACUAGAAAUGCAGGACAAGAAUAGUGUAAAUUACAAACAUAGUUUUGAAUUAAAACUAAAAACAAGAAAUGCAG
rnacentral:lncRNA from 1 species